rnacentral:lncRNA from 1 species
UGAUUUUAAGUGGAUUAUUUAAACAAUUUCGACAUAUUGCAUAUUCUAAAGAUUUUAGUAAUAAGCAGAUUAUCUGUAACAAUCACACAUAACAAAAUAAACGAAGAAAACAUUUAGCACGUAUAUCCCUUCCCCCUAGACGAUCCCCAAGUUAUUUCAUAUGUAUAUAUAUAUAUAUAUAUAUAUAUAUAUAUAUAUAUAUAUAUAUAUAUAUAUAUAUAUAUAUAUAUAUAUAUAUAUAUAUAUAUAUAUAUAUAUAUAUAUAUAUAUAUAUAUAUAUAUAUAUAUAUAUAUAUAUAUAUAUAUAUAUAUAUAUAUAUAUAUAUAUAUAUAUAUAUAUAUAUAUAUAUAUAUAUAUAUAUAUAUAUAUAUAUAUAUAUAUAUAUAUAUAUAUAUAUAUAUAUAUAUAUAUAUAUAUAUAUAUAUAUAUAUAUAUAUAUAUAUAUAUAUAUAUAUAUAUAUAUAUAUAUAUAUAUAUAUAUAUAUAUAUAUAUAUAUAUAUAUAUAUAUAUAUAUAUAUAUAUAUAUAUAUAUAUAUAUAUAUAUAUAUAUAUAUAUAUAUAUAUAUAUAUAUAUAUAUAUAUAUAUAUAUAUAUAUAUAUAUAUAUAUAUAUAUAUAUAUAUAUAUAUAUAUAUAUAUAUAUAUAUAUAUAUAUAUAUAUAUAUAUAUAUAUAUAUAUAUAUAUACUAGAGAGUUAUACAAAAUAUUACAAACCGAACAAAACAAAUAGUAACGACAUAAUAUAAUCCAAAAUAAACUAUUAAACAAAAAUAAGUUCUAUCCGGUAUCCCGCCUUAAGCGACUUUUCAUUCUUGAACUUGAGUUCAAAAACCUGUUAAACAGAAUAAUACCAAAACACAAGAUCAUAGCAUAAUAGUAAUAAAUAUUAACAACAAACACACGAGUUUCAAACGAAUCCUAGCAUAUAUAAGAACACACAUUAACAAGGAAGGAAUAAGGAGAUUAACCCGAAUGCUUCCUUUUAUUUGUUUUUGAACACACAACAAUAUUCACAAUUAAUAAUGCGGUACGAAAUUUAAACUAAUGAAGAAGAACUAACCUAGUAUGCAGAAAAUUAUUAUCAGCAAUGAAGUCAGCCUAAUUCGAUACUCGACCCGAACACAGCAAAACCGAAUAGAGAAGCACUUCUUAGAAUGUUCACCGGAUUUUUAUUUUUAGAGCAGAGAGUAUUAUUAUUUUUUACUAUCCUUCAAGUGGGUAAGCAUGAGUUCUCUUCUAUAAGAAUGAGGGCAUCUCUUUUUAUAGUGGAGGAGAGGGCACGAAAAUAGGACAAGAAUAAUUUUAGGACCAAUUAAAAUUAUUUUUCCUUAUUUCAAAAGGAGAGCCAAAUCUGUUUUAUUUUGAAAUUAUUUUUACCAAAUAUAAACAAGUAAAAGAUCUGUCAAUUUUAAUUAAGGUAAAAAGAAUCAGUUAGCAGGAAUUAAUGCAAUCAGAUGAAAUCAAGCAAAAGUGGGACUACCUUAAAGGAAAGAAAAUAAAUACAACCCACAGUAAGUCACAAUAGUGGCAAGCUAUCACAUUAAUAUAUGCCUGCCAUAUACAAUUAAAUACAGAGCUAUUACCACAAUUUGCUCAUAAUGAAGUCAAUAUCAAUUAGCAAUUCCAAUACCUGCCAGAUUUUACUCAUAUGCCAAAAUUAUGCCCCAAGUUAAAAAAUGCAUAUAUUACACGUAUGAGUUCAGCCAUAAAUAAACCAAAUCUCGUGCCAAAGUUUACUACCCACGGUGAAAUAAUCGACAUGCCACAAUUUAACACAAAUGAAAUUAAAUGCAUCAAGAACCUCGUUGAACUAGGAAUGAGUGAACUUACACUAAUAGUUAAUGGCAAAGAAUUAGUCACAAAUAACGAAAGCACAAUUCUAACAGGCCUGGUCACAACAUGUUAGCAAAAUUAUAGUAUCUAAGCAUAAAAUUUGGCAUAUGAAUUUGAGCGAAAUGAAGGACUUGAAAUCUCGAGAAUAGACAGUCUACACAUAUAAUGUUUUAUGACUUAAAAGAAAAUAACAGUAAACAAAGCUCGUACCUGGGACAGAUCUGUAAAGAUCUGUCCUUAUAAAAUAUUUCGCUUUCGGUGUCAUAGCGCCGCUUGUUUGCCGGAGUUGCCAAAGUACGCUGGCCAAAACUGCU